CAAACCUCAUCCAAAAUCCAAAUGUGAUCCAAGAUCCAAACCCCAUCCAAGAUCCCAUCUCAUCCAAAAUCCAAUCUCAUCCAAGAUCCAAACAUCAUCCAAGAUCCAAUCUCAUCCAAGAUCCAAACCUCAUUCAAAAUCCAAACCUCAUCCAAGAUCCAAACACUGUCCAAAAUCCAAACCUCAUCCAAGAUCCAACCUCAUCAAGAUCCAACCAUCAUCCAAGAUCCAAUCUCAUCCAACAUCCAAUCUCAUUCAAGAUCCAACCAUCAUCCAAGAUCCAAUCUCAUCCAAGAUCCAACCAUCAUCCAAGAUCCAAUCUCAUCCAAAUCCAAACACUGCCCAAGAUCCAACCAUCACCCAAAAUCCAAACCUCAUCCAAAAUCCAAUCUCAUCCAAAAUCCAAACACUGUCCAAGAUCCAACCAUCAUCCAAGAUCCAAACACUGUCCAAAAUCCAAACCUCAUCCAAG
rnacentral:lncRNA from 1 species